GUGGGGAAUAUUGGACAAUGGGCGAAAGCCUGAUCCAGCAAUGCCGCGUGCAGGAAGAAGGCCUUCGGGUUGUAAACUGCUUUUGUACGGAACGAAACGGUCCGGGUUAAUACCCUGGGCUAAUGACGGUACCGUAAGAAUAAGCACCGGCUAACUACGUGCCAGCAGCCGCGGUAAUACGUAGGGUGCAAGCGUUAAUCGGAAUUACUGGGCGUAAAGCGUGCGCAGGCGGUUGUGUAAGACAGGCGUGAAAUCCCCGGGCUCAACCUGGGAAUUGCGCUUGUGACUGCAGUGCUGGAGUACGGCAGAGGGGGAUGGAAUUCCGCGUGUAGCAGUGAAAUGCGUAGAUAUGCGGAGGAACACCGAUGGCGAAGGCAGUCCCCUGGGCCUGUACUGACGCUCAUGCACGAAAGCGUGGGGAGCAAACAGGAUUAGAAACCCUAGUAGUCC
rnacentral:rRNA from 1 species